UACGGGGGGGCAAGCGUUGUUCGGAAUUACUGGGCGUAAAGGGCUCGUAGGCGGCCAACUAAGUCAGACGUGAAAUCCCUCAGCUUAACUGGGGAACUGCGUCUGAUACUGGAUGGCUUGGAUUCGGGAGAGGAAUGCGGAAUUCCAGGUGUAGCGGUGAAAUGCGUAGAUAUCUGGAGGAACACCGGUGGCGAAGGCGGCGUUCUGGACUGCAACUGACACUGAGGAACGAAAGCCAGGGGAGCAAACGGG
rnacentral:rRNA from 1 species